GGUGUCUGUACUUUGAAUGGAGAGAGCGAGGUCUUUGUACAUGUAGGUAGAGAACGAGAGCUCUUUGUGUAAAAAGGACAACUCGUCAUAUUCAUACCUUUUAAUUCCGCAGAUGAGUGGGAGCACCUCGUGGGCAGGACUCGGAAGACAGAGGAGAGUAUAAUAAUUGCAUUGUAAAUAAUCUAUCUAAUAAGGGUGCGGUCACUAGCAUAUGUUUGUCUACUGGACACACAUCCAGAUAUUUAUUGAAACUGUCUACAUAUUUACAGGCUUAAUGUUUACUUGCAAGGUAAGUUUUCACAACUUGGGUGUUGAGGCACAGCUCACCCAAGUACUACUGUAGCCUACUAAACUGGGUGAGUCUACAUUCUCAUAAAUGAAAAUAUUGUCUGACUAUUUGGAUGGGGCAGUAAAUAUAGGUGAUAUGGUAGAAAUAGACUGCAGUUGAAAUGCAAGUGGGAGGUGGGUCAACUUGACUGGUUUACAGUGGAUUUUGGGAGGUGAUGAGAGCUGCAUUAUAUUAGAUAUUAGAUAACAGAAAACAUUUAUUGGAGAGCAAUAGAGACCACGCAGACAGCUCUGUUACUGUUAAGUUAAAGGCAUUUGAGUUUUCAAUUAAUGUGUAUAACAUAUAAACAGAGCGUGCCCUGCUUCUAUCAUCUAUGGAUUUAUAUA